UACGUAGGGCGCGAGCGUUGUCCGGAAUUAUUGGGCGUAAAGAGCUCGUAGGCGGCUUGUCACGUCGGGUGUGAAAGACCGGGGCUUAACUCCGGUUCUGCAUUCGAUACGGGCUAGCUAGAGUGUGGUAGGGGAGAUCGGAAUUCCUGGUGUAGCGGUGAAAUUCGUAGAUAUUGGGAAGAACACCGGUGGCGAAGGCGGCUCUCUGGACCACAACUGACGCUGAGGCGCGAAAGCGUGGGGAGCAAACAGG
rnacentral:rRNA from 1 species